GGUUGUGGCUCAGUGGUAGAGCGCUUGCCUGACACUCAAGAGGUACUGGGUUGGAUUCUCAGCACCA
rnacentral:tRNA from 1 species